rnacentral:lncRNA from 1 species
UUUGAGUUAUGUAAUAAAUCACACCAAAUGCCAAGAUUGUUCCUUAGCCUUUCUCAAAUCUGGGUGUGUCAGAGUUCUCUAAGGACCUCAAGGGACCCGGGCAGUGCUCACACCCAAAUUUCAUAGCCGAGAAAAAGUAAGUGUAGUGUGGAAAGGCUAGCUUUUGUGUGUCCAUGUUUAGAGGGAGCUCAAGGGUCCAAAGGCAAGGCUCACACAAAAGGGGCAGAACUUCGUGGUGUAAGAGUAAAGUGAGAGUUCUUGACAUUGCUUUGAAGAUAUUUAAGCAGGAAAAUAGUUUAAAAAAGAAAAUAGACUCGUUGAAAUAGUUAUGUAAAACAACAGGGGGAGUCAUUUAAUAGGAUAGUUUUGGAAAGAGAGUAGAGUAACAACCAACAGUCCAAACAAAACACCAAAAUAGGUUCAUACAUAAUCAAGGAACAUCGGACUAAGGUAGGUUCAACAGUCACCAAAAGGGGUAGUGGGUUCGGGGACACAUAGGUUACAUAAAUAUAAACAUAGUUGCAAGAGUGCUCAAGUAUAGUAUCAGCAGUAUGCUGAGGAGUUAGAGAACAUAGAAUCAUGUAACUUGAAGGUAGCCAACUAUUUUUACACAAAGAGGUUAAUGUUAGAAAUUAAAGCAAACACAAGUAAAGAAGGGCCAUACGGAGGUAUAUUAGGAAGGGGAAUAAAAAAUUUAUAAGCAUGAUGAGUCGAAAGGAGGGGAGACAUCAUGCUGAUGAAGUGAUGAAAUAAACAUAUCAAUUAGAAGUUUAAUCAACAAAACCAUAAGUGAAAAUAUACCAAAACCAAGAUGAAAAGCAGUAAAAGAAACACAUUGUUUUGAAACUUGAAUUGAAAUCAGAACAUACUAGUAAAGAAGUAAACAAAAAGUGAGAGGGCAAGAGAGUAGAGUAAUCAGCCUUGACUUGCAGCCGUCUGACUUAUGACAAUAGAAAAUAACCAGAGAAAGGCGAGACCAGAAGAAAUGUUUUCUUUUUGUCUGGGAAAGGGUUUUUAACUAUUGUGUUCGUCUGUGUGUGUUAAUGAGAGAGCAUAUAUGUAGUAGUUAAGAGCAAGGAAAAUUAAGGUAAUAGGAAUAAACCCUCUUGCAAUUAAGAAAAACACAGAAUCAAUUAUACACAAGUUAGUAUCAUUUUCCCUUAAUUAAGGGUAGUCAACAAACGGUAAAGGCAGAACACGUUAAUGGAAAGAAAAUCAACGAGCAAUUAGUGGUAAAUAGACAAAAUUUUAAUUAAGAAAAUGAUUGAUAAAGAAUUAGUAAAUAUCACAAUUAAUCAAACAAGGAGAGAAAGCGGCUCAAGAGUUUAAAUAAGGAAGGAGUCAGGAGUAAGUCUUAAUAGAACAAACUGAUUAGUCAAGAAUCCAAACGAAAUCAUCGAUUUAAGGGGAAAAGUAUAGGUUUACCAUGAAUAGGUAAAAAAUGACCAUAGACGUAUAGAAUCAGUAGGAAAAUUACACCAAGAGCAUCAAUAGAGGCACAUUAGGAUCAAAUGACAUCAAAUUAGGCUAAGAAGAAUCACAGAAACCAAAACAUAGUACAAAGUCAGUUCCCAAGGAACCUAGACAAACUCAGAAACCAAACAAUAAUGUCGAGAAAUCAGGGUUUUUAGCAUAAACAAGUCAGUGUUAAAGCAAUCCUUAUGAAAUCAGUCAAAACACACAAGAAACAGAAGAUUAAAC